rnacentral:rRNA from 1 species
UACGAGGGGUCCAAGCGUUGUUCGGAAUCACUGGGCGUAAAGCGGGUGCAGGUGGCUCUGCAAGUCAGAUGUGAAAGCCCUGGGCUCAACCCAGGAAGUGCAUCUGAUACUACAGAGCUUGAGUACGGGAGAGGGAAAUAGAAUUCCUGGUGUAGUGGUGAAAUACGUAGAUAUCAGGAGGAACACCGGUGGUGAAGACGGUUUCCUGGCCCAGUACUGACACUCAGACCCGAAAGCGUGGGUAGCAAACAGG